ensembl:lncRNA
ACGGACUGAUAAGAGGAGAGAACAUGCAAGAAAGUUGGAGCCAUAAGCACGUUGUCUUCAGCUCCUCAAAAGAUUUACAAGUUAAAUGCACUGUAUGAUAAGAAACUUCAAGCAAACCUCUGUUAGAACCUCUUUUCGUUACAAGCAGCCAACGAGUUCUCACGGCGUGGAUGGUGUGUACAGCAAGAAGAAAGGCAUCAAUAAACGCCCGUUUUCCAAAAAGAACUGUUCCUGUGUUGCCGUGUAUUCGAAAGGAGUUACAGUGAGAACUCGACUGCCUUCGCGGGGUAGGAGAGACACGGGACCAUAUGGUGGAAGAAGACGAUAGAAGCAAGUUCAACGAACAUUGAUAGCUAAGUUUCCAUUCAUGCUAGCGCAUCUCGAAGACGAAGAUUAGCCUGCCUGUCAAUCAAGUCGAUUUCCAGGACAAAGAAGCCCCGCCAAAGCCAAGUGGUGGGAGAAGAAGUUUCUGGAAUUCACAAGGACUCAGGUUAUCACUUUGCAAACGGUGCCUAGUAUGAAGGUUUCAAACUAGUAUUAUGUUCAUUUGCUGAUAUUGUCGAACUGUAUGUGUUUAACUGCAAAUUAGUCCAACUGCAGACCAAGAAGGCUUUUAGUUUCAAACGGUGCAACAGCAUAAUUCAAAAGAAAGAUUUUGUAAUUUCAGUUCAUUCUGCCAGGUGUAAAAGGCAUUCUUAAGUUAAAGCAAGAUUGGCAUAUUUCUGUUAAUUAAGCCAGCUUAAUAAGGCAUCUUUGAGUUUGGUCAAGAUUUAUACAUUUUCUGUUUACUAAGCAAAGGGCAUUUUAAGUUGAAUUUAUAAGUCUAUGGGAGACUCAAUGUACAUAUAAACCCCAAAUUAAGUAAUAAUCAAAAUAGGCCCAAGUAACUUCCUCUUUAUUAAGAGCUUUCUGCACAAACCUUUAGGAAGCAUUUGCAGAAUUAACAAGUAAACAGUAGGCUGUUCAAGUAAAACAUAGCCUAGGCUAAAUAGGCCUAAUUUAAGUGACUAGGUAUUUUCAACUCAUAUAAAACUACUUCCAAAUUAGUUUAAUUAAUCUUCUCAACACAUUGUCAAUUGACAAGCCUCAUUAUUUCAAUAUGUCUGAUUCAAGCACAAAGGUUACAGAUUCAAACAUAAAUGUUACAGAACCAAACACAGAUAUUAUAGAACAGAUCACAAGCUCACAUAUUACUGAACAACACACAGACUCACUAGCUCAGCCCGAGGUUGAUGCCCAAGCUGUAGAAGGAGAAGACACUGUGCGAAGAAGCAAAAGAACUCGAACCUUGACGGAAAAGGGGAAAGAGCUCCAAGAAGAAAAUUCAAAAGGCGUACAUCGCAGAUACAGACUUGCCUAUGAGAAAUGGAAGUGUAAUGCGAAGCUAGCUAAAGAAUGGUUGAGUGAUGAAAUCUCAGAUGAAGAAUUAAACAAGUUGAUUGACGAUCUACAAUCCACAUGCACAGAUGUUAAGACAACAUAUGAAGAACUCCGUCAAAUACAAGCUCC